UAAACUUCUUCCUUACAUGGCACAGUGACC
rnacentral:piRNA from 1 species